GGUCACCUCUCACCUGGCCCCGUUGAACCGGCGCAAGGAGCCGCUGCACCUUGGGGCUCGCGGGCUGCUCCGAGCGGUGGCCGCGCGUGUACCCGUGUCCCCGCCGCGCUCGCGCACACCGGCAGCAGCGUGAGCAGCCAAUGCAGAGCGGGCCCCGCCCCGGCGGGCGGUCCCAUUGGCCGCGCGGGCCCCUGAGAUGAGAGGAGUCGGGGCCGCCACAGCCGCCGUGUCGCGUCCUGCCUCGGUUCCUGCUGUGUUCACCUCAACCCCUGGGGCCUGCGCCUUGUCCCGGAGCCUGUCCUCUCCCCUCAUGAGGUGUGUAGGGUGACGGGCUCCGGGCAGAGCCGUCCUGCCUGAGGAGCCCCUUCUCCCCGUCCCGUCACCGCCGCUACUCGCCCGCCCGCCGGCCGCGCCUGCGAGUCCCGAGGCCAGAGACAGGUGCCAGAAGCGAUGGCGGUCAUAACCUGUGUGGAAGGAGAAGGUUUCUUCCGGAUGCCUCCUGCUGGUACUCUGCUUUGUGGAAGAUGAAGAUGAGCCUGGUGAUGGCAGGAAUAUACCAGUUACCUGAUGUGCCUUUCCUUGAGGAAGGAAUCUGAUCUCUGGCCUGCUGCAAGCUAAGCUGGGGGACCAGGAACAACUGACCUUCAGCAUGAAUAUUGAUAUAAGAUGGGAAGAGAGAGUCCAAACCAGAAAUGCCUCUCAUUCAAAGAUGUUGCAUUUUGGAAACUCCCCAUCAGAGCAGAUCCCAAAAGAGUCUGUGGAAAUCACCAGCAACAAGACUCUUUCCUCCUUGAAAAAAAAGGAGAAAGUCAAUCUCAAGAUGGAAGCACAGCACAUCUUUCUCAAGUUGAAGGUGUUUCUCGUUUUGUGGUUCACAAUUGCAGCAGCUGAGAUGAUGAAAAUGCAUUCCUCUGCAUGUUUUGGUACAUCCAGAUGUGUUAACAAAUAAAG